rnacentral:rRNA from 1 species
AUACGUAGGGGGCAAGCGUUGUCCGGAAUUACUGGGCGUAAAGGGUGCGUAGGCGGCCAGGCAAGUCCGAUGUGAAAUACCACGGCUAAACUGUGGGGGUGCAUAGGAAACUGUCUGGCUUGAGUGCAGGAGAGGAAAGUGGAAUUCCUGGUGUAGCGGUGAAAUGCGUAGAGAUUAGGAAGAACACCAGUGGCGAAGGCGACUUUCUGGACUGUAACUGACGCUGAGGCACGAAAGCGUGGGGAGCAAACAGGAUUAGAUACCCUGGUAGUCCACGCCGUAAACGAUGGAUACUAGGUGUAGGGGGUAUCGACCCCCCCUGUGCCGGAGUUAACGCAAUAAGUAUCCCGCCUGGGGAGUACGGCCGCAAGGUUGAA